CCGGUGGCCGCGGAUCCACUCCUCGUCCCAAACCCUAGCGAAAUCUGGGGCAUCAUCUCUUCCUCGCUCUAGCUUUCCCCAAUCUAAGGCAUUCCGCUCCCAUUCUCCACAGGCUCACUUCAUCCUGAGGAGUGGCGAGGUCCAUCAAAUCCGGCAGCACUGAUGACAAGAUCUUUUUAAGAAUGUAGCAAGAAAGUGACAGAAGAUGCCCACAUAGCUGCUGAGUGAGAUGGUUCAGCAC